AUUCUUUAUUCUUUAAUCGGUUCUCUGUCAACGCGGCUGUUUUUUCGUAUAAGGUGAAUUAGGAUUCAAUCGCCAAACUGUCUCUUUUUUGUUUCACUAGUCUGUUGGCAUUUGCCCCUAAUCAAAGUCAGAGUUGUUAUGAGCUACCGAUUAGUAGGUUAAACUUGUGUUUUCGUUUUUCGAUUUUGCUUAAUCCGUCAUCGGUUUUAUAAAAAUCUGAAACGUAAAGAUUAGGUUUUUAUGGUGUUUGGGAAAUGAUGCUAAAUGAUAUCGAAUUUUGUUACCAUAGGCGCAUUUUUGUGCUCUGCUGAACGAAAUCUUAUUUGCACGUUCCUAAACUCCAUUGUUAUAAGAUCUUUAUUUUCUGUUGGUUAGUUAACUUUACUCUUCAAUGAAUUUUCGUUAAAUUGAUUAAUUGGUUUGAUUGUUGAUACCUGUGAUGAUAAUCCAAAGGCUUGUUUCUCAGAGACAUUCGCAGUGGCUGCCUAAGAGCUUUCGCCUUCGCCAGGCUUGAGAGCUAAUGCUGUCUUUCUCCUUCCUUGGAUGUCUGAGGUUUUUUAUUUUAUUUUUUGAAAAAGAUGGGUUUUCUCAAUGAUGAUUUCAUAGAUGACGAGUCUGAUAUAUCCAUUCCAUUCAUCGUGAAGACAAAUCGAGGCAUUUGUCUGAGAGAUAACCCUUCACUAAUUUAAAAUUUUUAACUGUUUCUUUGAUUUUUAUUUUGUAAAAGGGAAAACCUCAUAAAAGCCCUAUAUAUUAUAUCUCAAUGCUUAAAAAAAACCCUAUAUAAUUUUGGUGUACACAUUAACCACUAUUCUUUCUGACCUAGAUUGUUUUCAUGAUUUGUGACCGGUUAGACUUAAACAACCGGUAAAAUGGCUGAUGUGGCUUGUAUUAGAUGACAUGGCAUUAAAUAGAUGAUGUGGUUUUAAUUCCGUUAAAUUGGGCACGUCUCAUAUCUCGUUCUUCUACUUCUUUUGAGUUUAGCCUCGUUGACAUGCCGUUUACCGUUCGAUUUGUAGCCGUUCGCUCUGUAGUUUUCACUCGUUGUCCUUCUCGGUCUUGUUGACAUUGGAUCUUCUGCACUUCUCGCUGCUUCAGGCCUCGCUGUAGUUGUGUAGGCAGCUAAUUUGGAAGAUCUAUGUCAUAUGGUUGAUUGCGGGAUAACAACUAAUGUGCCUAUUAUUCAUACAAAGCUCAAACCAAGAAAACCAUCUGAAAGGAUUAUUAAGAUCAAGCUCCGAAACCCAAUUUUUGAUAAGGAUAAAAGUGGAUUUACACAGGACACAGGACAAACCUGUCAUUAAUUUAGAACAGUAAAUUUAUGAACUAGAAUGGGACAAAACUCUAGCCGUUUGUGAUCUAGAAUGGGACAAAACUCUAGCCGUUUGUGAUGUUUUUUUUGAUACUUGGAACUUAGUAUUCCUAGCCUUUUGUAAUGUAUGUCCCCUUUUAACAUGUUUAUAUUCCUGCUAUAUUGUUAAUGGAGUGGUAUAAAUGUUCUAUA